UGUGUGUGUGUGUGUGUGUGUGUGUGUGUGUGUGUAAGAAAGAUCUAUUUCUGAAAUAAAAGUAUAUAGUUUUGGUUAUUCAAAUGACCAAGGAAAGCCAAGGAAAGUUUGAAAAAGAACAAGGAUGAAACUCCCAACAUAGUAUUAGAAGAUAGGACAGCAGUUACAUUUAGGGAGGAAGGUUAGCUAUUGACUAAGAGCAGAGAGGCAGCGAUACUGGCACUUCUGUGAUGCUAGUCUAUUUCUUGAUAUGAAAUGCAGUUAAGUAGCUGGGUUCUAUGCAUUGAUUCUAUACUUAAAAUGCCUGCAUUAUUUUGCAAGUAUGUUAUGCUUCAAUUUUUAAAAAUUUACAUUGUCAAAAGACAUUACAUGUGGGUGUUAUGUGUAUUCCCUAAUGUAGUCCUGGUUUGAAAAAGGAGCUGCAAAAACAUCUUGAUUACUAUUAGAAUUUGAAUAGAAUUUGAAUAUAGAUCUUUGCAUUCAGUGGUGAUAGUAAGGAAUUACUAUUACUUUUGUUAUAUGUAACAGUGGUAUUAUAGUUAGAUUGAAAACAUUUUUAUCUUUUAUGAUAUAUUUUGUGUGUAACAAUGGUGUUGUGUCUGGGUUGAAAAUGUUUUUAUUAUUUAUGUUAAUGAUAUUUAUGGUAAAAUAUUUAGAGUUGGAAACGUCUGUAAUUUACUUUAGAAUACUUAAUUUUUGAAAAUACAGUAAGAAAAUAUUUAAGAAAAUAUAGCAAGAUAUUAACUGCCAGUGAAUUCAUUUAUGGUUAUAUGAUUUUUCAUUGUGCUAUUCAGUAUCCUUUUUAGAAUGCAUGAAAAUUUUUACUAUAAUAAUAAAAGCUAAACAAGAAUAUAGACUAGAUUAUUUCCCUGUAGAAUAUUUGCUUUGUUUGGGUAAUUAUUAUUUAUCGAAUGUGUGAAUGAAUAAACAAAAGAGUGACUUAAAGCCAAAUAAGCAACAGAAAAGUAGUUAUUUCUGAAAUUCAAAAUUAAGUAUUAUUAGUCAAUAAAUAGGAUUGAGUACUAUUACAGCAAUCCUUUUAACCAAAUGUUCAUGAAAAAGAAAUGAUCCAUCCCACUGAAUUUUCUCAACUAAAGAGUUUAUAGUAGCACUUUUUAUAUUAUAAAUUUUACUUUGUUAAAUAUAUUUUUUCAUGAAUGAAAUUGAUUUUCCUUUGAUUGAGGGGUUAUUCACCAUCUAACCAUUGGUUAUAAGGGAGUUCCCUUUGUGGCUUCGUGGAAAUGAAUCUGACUAGCAUCCAUGAGGAUGCAGGUUUGAUCCCUGGCCUCACUCAGUGGGUUAAGGAUCCAGCAUUGCCAUGAGCUGUGGUGUGGGUAGCAGACACAGCUUGGAUUUGGCAUUGCUGUGGCUGUGGCAUAGGCCAGAGGCUGCAGCUCCAAUUCGACCCCUACCCUGAGAACCUCCAUAUGCUGCAGGUGUGGCCCUAAAAAGACAAAAGUAAACAUUGGUUAUCAGACCUGACCUGCACACAUAGACACUGUAUAUGAUUGAGUCUUGCCCAAACAAUUCCUGAGUUAUACCCUAGAAGUUAGUACAUUUUUUUCCCUAUAAAACCUGAUAUCUGGUUACUUUUGUUCGAUUUGUCCUUUUGUUCUAAAAUACCCCAUGCUGAUGUCAAGGGAGGGAAAUAUCAAUUAAUUAUUGGUUUGAGUUAUUUAGAAUAACAUGGUGAGCUUUCAGAACAUUAGAAGCACAUUGAGUGGAGGGAGGGGCACCUUGGAUAGAAGGAAACUUGUCUAAUUCUUCCAGUACUAAUAUGAUGCCUUUUUAUUGAACUGUAAAUUCAGUUUUAAUACUUUUCAAAAUGGUGUGUGCGUGUGUGUGUGUGACAAAGGCUAGACUGAGGCCAACUUAGAUGUAACUUAGAAAAGUUCACUAAGUAAGAGCAAGACAGGUAGACACCGAGUUCCUCCAAAGCUUAUAGAUGUUGCUGUAGCAGAUGCCUUAACAUCUCUAACUAUAAUUUACACUAGGGUUUAGGAAUUGUUUUAAGUUAACAUUGACCUCUUUCUCCAAUAAGGAUAAAUGUCCAUUAGAAUAUGAUGUUUUCUGUAGGCUGCUCUAGUUUCCAGCCAAAAAGCUGUAUGCAGUAUUUACAUUCAGCUCUGUUCUUGUAAUUACACCUUUCCUUGAAGCCAUUAGCAGUAUUGAGAAAAUGAUUCUUUCAUUUGGAAUUUGUCUUCCAGCUAAGUCCCAAACUGUUACCACAGAAUAGACUGCCUUUUCUCCUUUCCAUGACUAUCACAUUUAGGUCUAAGAAUUUAAAGCCUAAGAAAUCUUAAAUGCUACACCAAAUAAACAGAAUCCUCAAUUUAGAAGCUCUUAAUUGUCUGUACUAAUGGAGGUUUACAUAGCCCAGAUAAAUUGAAGCUGGGGAAAAACUGAAGCUUCACUUAGCUUCUGAUUUUAACCUUAAUUUUCUCAUCUUUCUUUCCUCCCUCUGGCUAGAUCUCAAUAGUUUAAUAUGAGCAGCAGAAUUCAGAUGAAUUCGCCUCUUCUGUCUUCCUUGCUUUCAUCAUCCUCUUGUUGAGCUGAAAGUCACAACAAAGUGGAAGGAGGAGAUUUCCUUAUUUAACUUACGUCAGCAUAAAACAGUUUUUAAAUCUUUUAUAUUAUGGAACAGUCCACUGAUCAAUAACACUGAAGUGUGCAUGCGUGUGUGUGUGCAUGUGUGCACAUGAUUUGCUUUUGAUAUUUUGUCUGGUCAGAGAAAAAGAGGGUAGAACACACAGUGGGUACUGAACAUUGUGUACUUAGCUUCAAGAGCCUUAUCCAAACAAUGCAAUGACAUUUCCGUUCCAUAAUAGACAGCAAGAAUCAUUACCAGUUAUUACUCAUCAGGAUGAUGAGUUGUUUUAAUGCCUCAUUCAUAGCCUUCCAAACAAAUAUUUAUACUGCACUAUUUACAUCCUAAGGCAAUAGGUGGUAUAUUGGAUUGAUUUUUCUGUCUUAAUAACAUAACAUUUGCAAAGAUGAGCCAGGAAAAUUAUCCAGAAUAGUUGAUUUAUAGGAUGUUAUUAAAGGCUACUGAGGCAGUUACUGUAAAGAGUCUAUGAAUAAAUUUAUGUUUUGCAGGAUUCUUCACACAUAUCUGAAGUCAUUUUCAAGUUUGUAGACAAAGAUAGUUACUCAGAGCGAUAAGUAGAUGGAUUCAUUGUAUUCAUUUUUGUUUCUGGACCACUUUCUGGUGCCAUGCACAAGGCCAUAUACCAGUCACUCAAGAUAACUUAGUGAACAAUAUAGAUAAGAUCCACACUCAGAUGGAGGUACCACAUUUAUAGAACACUUAACAUGUGCCUGACAUUGACCUAAAUGUCUUAAAUGUAUUAACUCAUGUAAUUCUCAACACAACCCAAUGAGGUAGGUAUUAGUAUUAGACUUUUUUUACAGAUGAUGAAAAAAAGGCAGGGCAGCAGGUGGUUCCAUAUUGCAAUGGUGCCUAGAUUCAAACCCUGAUAGCCAGUCGAUGCUUUCACUAUACCAUGGUAUCUCUCAGUGUGAACGCAAAGGGGCUUAUGUU
rnacentral:lncRNA from 1 species